AGACUUUGAAGAUGAACAAGACCGAAUAAAGUGUUGUUGGAGCUGAAAGAGCCAUAGAGACAACUGCUACUAAGAUCAAGACCAAUCACAUGACCUGUCUUCUCAUCACCCUCCACUCCAUCCCAUGAGCAACAACUGAUGUUUUGCUCCCCAGUAGAUUUCCAUGAAGAAAUCUUUGGAUAAGCACCCUCAUACUCUGAAGCAGACAUGUCAAUGACAAAGCUUUGCUUGAAUUGCAGCAAGGCGCGCGGAGUUCUCGACAUCAUGGCAAGUAGGAAUAUAUGACUGCAAAGAGUUGGCCACCGCAAGAUGGAACAACACAAGUUUUGAAAGCAUAAAUGUAAUAACCGAGUUUUGUUUUCUUUAAUCAAAGUGAAAUUGUGGCAGACACCUUUCCUUGUUUGAGGCAGUAGAGACCACCGCUUUAUCUCUUUCAUGAUUGUGCAUGAUUGAGGAACAGAUCAUUAGCUAACAAGCAGACUACUAUCUCUCUCACUCCUCCUGUUUCACGUCCGAAAAACAGAGCAUUAGUUCUCCAGCCUUGUUCUCCCUCUUCAGGCCACCUCAAGACGUCGGACCACCUCCAGUAGCUUCGCCUAGACCUUGCACAGCCGCAGGUGGCAUCCUUGGGCCGCAACAUGGACUGUAGCGACGGCGGAGGACCCGGCUUCGUUUGAGCCUAUUUCGAGUCAAUCUCGAUAUCUCGAGCUACAAGCCACCAAUCCUCUUGAUUCUUGGCUCAUUAGACUCGCAUCAACUUUCUGAACAAGCACCAAGAAGGACCGGACCUGGGGAUAUCGAUUUCAUGUUCGCCGGAGCUCAGCCCGUUUAGAUCGAAAAACCACCUUUCGAUCAGAAUAUCUCGAGUUACAGACCACUAUUCUUUAUGAUUCUUGGCUUGAUGAACUCGACUUGAGUUUCUGAACAAAUCUUCAUAAGGAAUCGAAGCGUUUUGUUGAAGUUUUUACGUCGAAACUCAGGAUCGCCGGAUUCUGGAAUUUUUCCGGCCACCGAAACUUUCGAUCAGGAUAUCUAGAGCUGUAGAGCUUCGUUUUGAUUGAUUCUUGAACCUGUAAACUUGCCUUACGUUUCUGAAGAAGUCUCCAGAAAGGAUUGAAGCGAGUGGUGGAGGUUUUUACGUCGAUCGGAGCACCUACCGGAUUCUGGAAAAUUUCCGCCAAGUUCAACUGUUCUAGGUGAUUGACGGUUUUUACUUGGGCGAGCGAGUUUGGUGUGAUCGUGUUAAUUUGAAGACGCAACGAGAGUAUUAAGGCUUUCAGAAAGCUUACCGGGUUUUGUGUUGUUGCAAUCCCGGUACACUAUUCAAACGGUGUAGCGGAUAAUCCUGCAGGUCAGGAUAAUCAGGGAGGAGACCGAGCUGGUUAAGGGUUGCAGCACUUACUUUAUUUCCUUCUAUUGUGAGGUUUGUUAUGUUCAAUUAGUGCUUUACAAUUUUAAAUUAUAAGAAUGCAUGAGUUGUAAUAAUUAACUCGAGGUUUUCGAGUUUUGGAAUUUGAGUGGCG